rnacentral:piRNA from 1 species
UGGACAUAUUCAGAGACCCUUCC